AGUUUGAUCCUGGCUCAGGAUUAACGCUGGCGGCGUGCAUGAAACAUGCAAGUCGAGCGCGGUGCGAAGCGGGGUAACUUGCUUCGCAUCUAGCGGCGAACGGGUGAGUAACACGUGAGCAACCUACCUUCGAGUCGGGGAUAGCCCUGGGAAACCAGGAUUAAUACCCGAUGUGGUCACGACGAGACAUCUCGAUGUGAGUAAAGGCGCAAGCCGCUCGAUGACGGGCUCGCGGCCUAUUAGCUUGUUGGUGGGGUAACGGCCUACCAAGGCAGUGAUGGGUAGCUGGUCUGAGAGGACGAUCAGCCACACUGGGACUGAGACACGGCCCAGACUCCUACGGGAGGCAGCAGUUAGGAAUUUUCCGCAAUGGGCGCAAGCCUGACGGAGCAACGCCGCGUGGGUGAUGAAGACCUUCGGGUUGUAAAGCCCUGUCGGAGGGGAAGAACAAAUGACGGUACCCUCCAAGAAAGCCCCGGCUAACUACGUGCCAGCAGCCGCGGUAAUACGUAGGGGGCGAGCGUUAUCCGGAUUUACUGGGCGUAAAGCGCGUUAAGGCGGUCGGCAAAGUUGGUUGUGAAAUUUCAGGGCUCAACCCUGAAACUGCAUCCAAUACUGGUCGACUAGAGUGCGAGAGAGGAAGGUGGAAUUCCCGGUGUAGUAGUGAAAUGCGUAGAUAUCGGGAGGAACACCAGUGGCGAAGGCGGCCUUCUGGCUCGCAACUGACGCUGUAGCGCGAAAGCGUGGGGAGCGAACGGGAUUAGAUACCCCGGUAGUCCACGCCCUAAACGAUGUGCACUAGGUGUUGGGCGUAUUGACGCGCUCAGUGCCGUAGCUAACGCAUUAAGUGCACCGCCUGGGGAGUACGGUCGCAAGAUUAAAACUCAAAGGAAUUGACGG
rnacentral:rRNA from 1 species